rnacentral:rRNA from 1 species
CGGCGACCGGCGCACGGGUGAGUAACGCGUAUCCAACCUGCCCAUAACUAAGGGAUAACCCAGCGAAAGUUGGACUAAUACCUUAUGUACUCGUUUGAUCUCAUGAGAUUACGAAUAAAGAUUUAUCGGUUAUGGAUGGGGAUGCGUCUGAUUAGCUUGUUGGCGGGGUAACGGCCCACCAAGGCAACGAUCAGUAGGGGUUCUGAGAGGAAGGUCCCCCACCAUUGGAACUGAGACACGGUCCAAACUCCUACGGGAGGCAGCAGAG